GAUGAACGCUGGCGGCGUGCCUAAUACAUGCAAGUCGAGCGAACAGAUGAGGAGCUUGCUCCUCUGACGUUAGCGGCGGACGGGUGAGUAACACGUGGAUAACCUACCUAUAAGACUGGGAUAACUUCGGGAAACCGGAGCUAAUACCGGAUAAUAUAUUGAACCGCAUGGUUCAAUAGUGAAAGACGGUUUUGCUGUCACUUAUAGGUGGAUCCGCGCCGCAUUAGCUAGUUGGUAAGGUAACGGCUUACCAAGGCAACGAUGCGUAGCCGACCUGAGAGGGUGAUCGGCCCCACUGGAACUGAGACACGGUCCAGACUCCUACGGGAGGCAGCAGUAGGGAAUCUUCCGCAAUGGGCGAAAGCCUGACGGAGCAACGCCGCGUGAGUGAUGAAGGUCUUCGGAUCGUAAAACUCUGUUAUUAGGGAAGAACAAAUGUGUAAGUAACUAUGCACGUCUUGACGGUACCUAAUCAGAAAGCCACGGCUAACUACGUG
rnacentral:rRNA from 1 species